rnacentral:lncRNA from 10 species
UCAUUCGGGCUGACAGCGGCAUUUAUGAGAGCAAAUGUCUGUCCCUGCGCAAUUUCUGUGGGGAUAGUUGCAGUCAGGUCUACAGGAUUUGCUUAAAAAUUUCCAAGACCUGGGUGUGUCUGACAGCCUGGACCUCAACCUCAAAAAGGAACUAGCUCCUCUCUGAUUUCCUUGGGACACCUGGGAGCAAGCACAGGAGCCCAUGGAGCCACGGAGAGUGUCACUUCAAGCGCCUCCUGGGAGCUCUUGCAGAUGCCAAGUGCUCUGCCCUUCCCCAUUACCUGUGAUUUCAAGUGGGCUUAGAGAUUCUCCAAGAUGUGAGAUGAAAGGCCAAGAAACUAAUUCCUCUGACUUCUUCAGAGAACCGCACAGUCUCUUGAGCAGGAGUUAACCAGAAGAGUGACGGUUGUGCAUGGACGGCCCUGGUUCACAGUCCAGCUCUGCCAUCCCUAGCAUGAUACCUAGGACCACAGCUUGUUGAAGAAAAUGAACAGUCUCCCUGGUACCAUUUGUUUUUGUAUCCCCAGCAUCUAUGGCAUUGAGUACAUAGAAUCCUUGGGAUGACCAGCAAUUGAGCUGUGGGCAGAACAAGAACAAUCAGCAAAGGAGACUGAGAAGCACCAGCCAGAGAAGCAGGAGGAGAACCGGUAGAGAGACAGCUACUGCAGCCACCAAAGGGAGAAAUGUAGGCAUCUGGUUGGGUUGGGCUAGAUUUUUUAGGUCUGCAUGAGGCCUCAGGAUGACCCUGUGAGAGCACCCCAAGUCACCCAGGAGAGCCAGCAGAGCAUCUGUGUAUGACAUAUGACCCCCCUACCACCACCCUUGACUGUUCAAACUGGAGAAGGGCUGAAAACACGUGGGCAGCCAAGCACCUUUUAUGGGUUUCUGGAAGGUCAUCUCAGCCACAGCAUCAAGUACACCACGUGAUGCUCACUCACAGUAUGAGCCCCCAUGAGGAAAGCAAUGACCCCAACACUGAGAGCAUGGUAGGGUCCCAUCUGCUCCCACAUGGCAGACAGGCCCCGAGGAAUGAGCAUGACUGGGUCUGCCAACCAGAUGCAGAUGCAGGGUGGUAUGGUUGAAUCAGGCAGAUGGCUGUAGGAUCAAUUCUCCAUCUCACCAUUUUUUUGUUGGGUAAUUCUGAUUAAGUUAGUGAACUUCCUUAGCUUGCUUUGUACCAUGGAGACAAAACAUCCACCUCACACAAUUGCUAGA